UACGGGGGGGGGCAAGCGUUGUUCGGAAUUACUGGGCGUAAAGGGCUCGUAGGCGGCCAACUAAGUCAUACGUGAAAUCCCUCGGCUUAACCGGGGAACUGCGUCUGAUACUGGAUGGCUUGAAUUCGGGAGAGGGAUGCGGAAUUCCAGGUGUAGCGGUGAAAUGCGUAGAUAUCUGGAGGAACACCGGUGGCGAAGGCGGCAUCCUGGACCGAGAUUGACGCUGAGGCGCGAAAGCCAGGGGAGCAAACGGG
rnacentral:rRNA from 1 species